GACAGCGAGAUGGGUGCCGCCGCCUAUUGGUCGAGCAGGAGCACGUGACUGGAGGCGGUGUUCCGCCCCUCACCUGACGGGCAUGCGCGCGGGUCUCGGGGUCGCUGGAGCUCGGGGGGGGCUCCAGGCCUCUCAGUCAGGAGCGGGCAAGGGCCUGCAGGGCUUCUGUCGGGACGUGGCUGCUCAGCUCUGCCCGGGUGACGGCUGCGCGUGUCCGGAGGUCUUUAACGUGCAGACGUUAGGUGUAACGUAGCAGCUCGUAGCGGUUUCGAGGAGCUAAAUACAGCUAAUCUCUGACUAAACUCCCCUCUAAGCCCUUCUUUAAGAGACUUAGGAUUUCGUGCUGAUACCCUGCAGCCUCCCAGCAGGUGCAGUCAUUUUGUGACGGUAUGCCUGUUACCACGGUAUCAGGAUUGAAAGGCAGCCUCGUGACUAUAGCUGAAAGCACAGUUGGUAGAGGAAGAAACAUACCAGUGAACUUGGUGAAUUACAUUAUAAAGAGGCAAACAUCUGUCUUACAGAAAUAGGUGGGGAUAUUUUCUAUUGAGUAGUGUGACAGGGAAGGUUAACAUUUGGUAAAAUCAAUGAAGCAACAGCCCAAUACGCACAAGUUCUCUUACUGUUAUUGUUCAAAGCUCCUUACACAAUUUUUGAGAUGUAAUUAAGCCAAAGACAGAAGCAGGAGUAAGAUGUUAUGAGAUAAUCACACCUCUAGGCUACUACUGGGCAUCAAACUGACUGUAAAGGCCUAAACAGCCUGACUGUAGAACAAAUUGUUUAAUGGUUGUCACCACAGAACUAUUAACUGCUUCUAUCUGCUCUGUCAGCUUCUGCUGUAUUUGCAUCUAUCUUUUGCUGACAUUGUGCUUUCAAAUCUGAUAUGUAAUGGGGAAAAAAACGAAGCCAGGUGCUGUAAAUGUAUCUGAUUUACUUCUGAAAAACAGCAAUUUCUGAGG